rnacentral:rRNA from 1 species
UACGUAGGGUGCAAGCGUUGUCCGGAUUUACUGGGCGUAAAGAGCGCGUAGGCGGAAAGUUAAGCGGGGCCGGAAAGCCCCGGCUCAACCGGGGAAGGGGCCGCGAACUGGCUUUCUUGAGGGGAGAGGGGAGAGUGGAAUUCCUGGUGUAGGCGGUGAAAUGCGUAGAGAUCAGGAGGAACACCAAUGGCGAAGGCAACUCUCUGGCUUCACCCUGACGCUGAGGCGCGAAAGCGUGGGGAGCGAACGGG